rnacentral:lncRNA from 1 species
ACAAAGGACACACAUGAGGGGUGCAGGAGAAGGAGUUAAGGAGCCCGCCAACAAGAGGGACGCGAGGAUGGACAGAUCAAAGAAGAUAGCCUCAGGAGGCAAACAUCCGAAAUACGGGUUAUCGUGAUGAUAAAAACAGAUCCCUCCAAUAUAGAGCAAGUCCACGCUUUCCAGAAGAGCCACUGGGUGAUGUCCAGCAGCAGGAAAGAGACCACUGUCACGAGCUGUGGAAGCCAGGCCGAACGGAUCGCGGUCACCCAGAACUGUGAGAGCCUCCAGACAUCACUUGGAUCCCCGUGACCAUGGUGGAAAGGGCCAUCCAGGGGACAUGUGGCUUCCAGCCCCAGCACCUCUAAAGAAGGCAGGACAAGGAGCCUAUCAAGCCAUAUAGCGUCAUUCUGAUAUAAAGCCUAAAGUCUUAAUCCUAAAAAUAACAGGAUGGAAUGCUCCCGUCGGAUCUGGACACACUGCAUGUCAACUUCGAUGGAACGCAUUUGGUUCCUGGUUGAGUUUGCUCCUUAGUCUCUGCUCUGUUCAACCCGUGAAGCCCUCUGUAGGGUGUCCAUCCCAUCUCCUUCGCUGGGGACUGCUGCACAUCUACUCUUAUAAAAUACACACACGCAUACACACACACACACACACACACACACACACACACAUCUUGGGAAGGCCGGCCAUGAGUUCCCAGUAGCAGGCUCUCUCUUGCAGAGAGGAAAGCCAGCUAUGCCAAACUUUGCGUAAGUUCCAAGGUGCCAUUUCUUAUUCCAAUGCCAGGCACUCGGUAGAGGCUUUAACAACAACAUACUGAUUGGUAAAGAAUGAGUGAAUACUUGUUUUCCAGAAUCCGUGGUAUUUCAUCUCAGUGUAAUCUGGGGGAAUGAACCAACUUGAGUUUUGGAGUUCAGCCAAUCUCUGUGUAAGGGCGUACAUCACCACACUAGGCAUGAGCAUAGCACAUACCUUCUCUGAAUUUCAGUUUUCCCGUGUGCUCUGUGGGAAAAAUAACCAAACUUAAAAGCAGGUGCUUUCAGCCUGGAGUCCAUGAGCCUUCAAAGAGUCCUUAAAACGUAAUAUAAUUUUUGGCAUAUUGUAUUUUUUUUUUUUACGAAGGAAAGAGUUUCGUAUUUCAUCAGAUCCUUUAACUAGGUCAGUAACUUCUUUAAAAAAAAAAAAGAAAGAAACCACUGUGGACUUGGACUUUUUUGUGAAGAUGGAGAUAACAUUGAUAAAGUGCCGGAGAACCGAAGAACCCCUUUUAACUGCUAUACAAUCACUGGCUUGGUGGAAGGAGCCUUCUGAG